GAAAAUGGCAAUCUUUUCUAGCCUAUCUUUCUCUAUUUGAAGGACUAACCUGCAGAAAAGAAAUUAGACUCAUUUGGGUGUCUUCCUCCACAAGGCAGAAUUAGGUUUAAGUUUCAGGGAGGAACAUUAAAAAAAAUAUAUAGCCUCAUUGCUCCAAAUCACAAUUAGCAUGUUUCAAGCAGGAUGAGAAGCAAGAAAAAAUAAAAGGAGAGAGAUCAAGGCACUGCUAAGGCACAGAGAACAAUGGCAGUGGCUUGACAUCAUAUCUUCAGUAAACAUGUUGACUCCAACAUUCUCCUGUCCAUGCCCUUCCCUUGGCAGACCCUGUCGGGUGGGAGUUCAUGCAUUCAUUUCUUGCCAUUCUGUCAUGUUGUGACCUCAGUUGCCACUUGGUGGCUUCUACCAUCAGGGCUUCUUUUGUACCCCUCUGCUGCAUCCCCGGCCUUCGGGCUAUAUUACUCUAGCCUGAUGGGGGGAAGUUUUUACCCCUGCUAAUAUGAUAACUUCUUUACAAGCAAUCCCAAAAAGCAGACUGGCUCUUGUCAUUUUCAUUCACUCAUGAAGCAUGUGUUCAACAAAUACUAAAUUAGCAGCUAUGACAUGCCAAGCACUGGGCUUGGAACUGGGGGCACAGUGGAGAAGAAGGCAAUGAUGGUCACUGACCUCGUGGAGCACACAGUCUAGUAUUGUUAUUGCCGCCCUUUCCCACUACACCUCAGAUAAGUUCCUCAGGUGCAGAGAAACAAGUGGUAGCACCUCCUGGGCCGAAAGUAUUCAUUCCCAUCCAGCAUCUUAUGACUUUCUCAUCUCUCCCCCUUAGAAUGAAUUUCCUGCUCACUCAGGCACUUUCCCUCACAUGCCUUUUUCUACU
rnacentral:lncRNA from 1 species